rnacentral:rRNA from 1 species
GUGGGGAAUAUUGGACAAUGGGGGGAACCCUGAUCCAGCCAUGCCGCGUGUGUGAAGAAGGCCUUUUGGUUGUAAAGCACUUUAAGCGAGGAGGAGGCUACCGAGAUUAAUACUCUUGGAUAGUGGACGUUACUCGCAGAAUAAGCACCGGCUAACUCUGUGCCAGCAGCCGCGGUAAUACAGAGGGUGCAAGCGUUAAUCGGAUUUACAGGGCGUAAAGCGCGCGUAGGUGGCCAAUUAAGUAAAAUGUGAAAUCCCCGAGCUUAACUUGGGAAUUGCAUUCGAUACUGGUUGACUAGAGUAUGGGAGAGGAUGGUAGAAUUCCAGGUGUAGCGGUGAAAUGCGUAGAGAUCUGGAGGAAUACCGAUGGCGAAGGCAGCCAUCUGGCCUAAUACUGACACUGAGGUGCGAAAGCAUGGGGAGCAAACAGGAUUAGAAACCCGUGUAGUCC